UCAAAUAGAAUUUGUUCAUUUUAUACAGGCGCUGCUAUGUUGCAGUCCUCAAAUGCCCAUUAUUUGAUAUGCCAAAAUUACGGGCUCCCAGCGGAGAAAUAGGCCAAUAGAUUUCCAAUCCACAAAUACAGUACUAACGGUACUAAUAGGCAAAUAGAAUGCCAAUAGACAAAUACACAAUAGGCAAAUAGAGUGCCAAUAGACAAAUACACCAAUGAACAAAUAGAGGUCCAACAGACCAGCAUGCCACCUAUAGACCCAUAUGAUACCAAUAGACCAAUAUGAUACCAAUUGACCAAUAUGUUCAAUAAUCCGAUAGGCUAUUGGUUUUUCUAUGGGUGAUUUUUGCUAGGCGAUGCUUAAGGUUCC
rnacentral:lncRNA from 1 species